GUGGGAUAGUUACCUGGACACUUCGUACCAGGAGAUGGUCACAACCAUUAGGAUAGGAUCUUUUGAUUUGGAAAGUGGUCAGGGACAGGAAGGUGUGACUGCAGCUGAGACAGCCAGUAACCUGCAAUCUCUGAGGAACCACUUGUGCGGGUAAAACCUUCCCAGAGGAUGUGUGGAUGGGAUAAACAUCUUACUGUUCAGCUUGGUGGAAGCUGGCACAUCAACCACCAUUAAUACAUUCCUCUCAGCUCUGGAUGCAGUUAGAAAAUGGGCAAACAGUGCCCCAGCUGGAUUCUAUGAGAACUCGCUCACAGCCGAGGUGUCUCCGCUAUGAGACUCAGAGCAUUUUCAUGAGACCUACUGAACAAUCCCUUACAAUGUGGUGGCAGCUAAUGAACAAACCCAGAACCGAAGCAGCUGAUGAAGGAUCCCAGAAUUUGAAACACUAAAGGAACAAUGUCCUGACCUGACUGAAGUGCACCUGAACCAAACACACAGCUGGAGAUCACUGCAAAAGAAAGUUGGAAGCCAAUUUAUGCACAGCAACUCCCACAAAUCAGAAUGUGAUAAAUGGCCACAAAAUCUGUUCUUUUUAGUGAAUGUUGGUUCAUAUUUAUGAGAUAGAACAUAUAAUGACCUAGACUAGUUUAUAAUCACUAUAUUAAAUCCUGCCUCUCUCCUUUUUCGCUUCAUUUGCAAAGUUGUCAGAAAAAAUCAGAAUGGAGAAGCACAGCAUGUUGCCAUUUCAAAUCAGUGGAAAUCAGAAAAGAUGGAGCAGACAAAAUGUUGCUUUGUACAUAUUGAA